CAGGUAGGACUACCCGCUGAACUUAAGCAUAUCAAUAAGCGGAGGAAAAGAAACUAACAAGGAUUCCCCUAGUAACUGCGAGUGAAGCGGGAAAAGCUCAAAUUUAAAAUCUGGCAGUCUUUGGCUGCCGAGUUGUAAUCUA
rnacentral:rRNA from 1 species